GGGUCCGUAGCUCAGUGGAUUAGAGCGCUGGCCUCCUAAGCCAGGUGUCAGGGGUUCGAGUCCCCUCGGACCCG
rnacentral:tRNA from 2 species